AGUCCCCUCAGCCCGGCUGCUCUGCGUUCACCCACGGAAACCUCUGUGCCCCUCAUGGUUGUGCCGCGUUGCCCGGCAGCAAAGCAGCCCAGGGGGAGGGGGGCAGCAAAAUUGUCUUUAUUUAUUUAAAAUUCAGAGCUGUUUUUAACUUGUCAGGUGAUAAGGGAGAGAGGAGAGGGGAAGCAUUAUGAUUAUCACACACCAAAGGACUUCCUUUGGCAAUGGCCUUUUAGUGACACUGGCUUCUCUCAGAGCUUCCCAGUGAUGGCCACAGGGCUGCACAGCCCAUGGCUGGUUGCUGGGGUCAGUGAGGAGCCCUGAGUUGCUGUUGGUCCAUGAUCUACUGGGGAUGAGUUCAGUCAUGAGUGGCUCCAGCCUGAGAAACACCAUCCAGGACCGUGCAAAGGCACUUUUAGCCAGUAGUAGGAGUAUGGGCUUCCUCUGGCUGUUUUCCUGGUUGGAGGCUCUUUAUCUCCGAAGUGGAGGACAGGUACAGAUGCUGCCUUAAGUCCAGGUACAAGGUUUCAGCUUCUACUUUGGCUUAUACAAAAAUGUGUGCAUUCAUCACCAGUGUUUCUUGAAGGUGCUACCCCAGUGCUGGACAACACUGGUGCUGUCUCACUGCCCUUGGACAUCUACGUGCUCACAACAUCUGUACCACAUACCAGAUUCUCUACCUUGAAAAUCAGUGCAAAGGCUCUCAAGGCAGAUAAAAACACAGCAAGAGGAGCAAAGAGAAAUCUCUCUACAGCCUAAAGAUGUCAAUCUGUGACUGGCAGUGUUUGGAAUAACACAGAGAACUUCUAAGUUCUGCCUGGAAGGUCCUUCAGGGCUGAGUAGGGAGUCGUGCUUGAAAAGCAUCCUGAUGCUUAGUAGAAAAGGGUGUGUUUGUAUUUAUGUGGACACUUACGUGACUGCAUCAUCCUUUGGUGGCUGCAAGGAAAUUUGAGCCCCAGGCACCUUAUCCAGAGUCCUUCCUGGGCUGGGCUAUAGAGGAAUGGUUGUACCCACAGCAGAAGGAAGGCGAAGGGUCCAAACAGCAGCUCUGCAAAGCCUUGUGUCAGUAGGCAGAAACAAAGCUGGAUGUCCCUGCUGUGUUUCUUUGCUGAAAACCACAGAAAGCUUUUAAGCUGGAGCUGUAUCUUUUGCCUGGGAAUGUGGCUGUCCAAAACUGAUGUAGCGAUAUUGUUUACUGCCCUGGGUGGACAGGAGGGAAAAUGCAUGGUGGUUUUGGCGUGGUACACUUUGGACAGAUUAGAAAAUACUCUGCUAAUUAGGGGAAUUCCAGGCAUGUACAGGAAGCAUAUUUCAAUAACCCAUGAUUAUGUUGGGUUUCAUGUAAAGCUAUUUGUUUGGCUGCCAGAGUGUUUUAUGGUGUGAUGCCAACUAUAAUAUAUUCAGAACACAAGCUAAAAACUCUAAACUUUGAUGCUUGAUGAGUUCAUAGGAUGGGAACACAAAGACAAAGAACCUUGAAAACCUCAACAUGAAUAAUUAAGGUAAAUAGACAGACUGUUCUGUAUUGUGAUUAAAACGUAAGUAACUUUUGGGCAUUACAUAGCUAUCUAGAAAUUAAAAACUUUUUAAAACAAAAGCAUGUACUGUAGUAUCUCUAUUAUCUAACUAUAACACUACACAAUUUAUUAUGAGCUGACUUGCUUGUUCUCCUUUGUGGAAUGAGCACGCUGCCAUUCCAACAUAUUUCCAGCCUCAGAGAAAUAAUGGCAUCCUUUAAAAAUACAUUGAAAUAAA